rnacentral:rRNA from 1 species
GUUGCAGUUAAAAAGCUCGUAGUUGGAUUUCUGUUAAUAAUUUAUAUAAAAUAUUUUGAUGAAUAUUUAUAUAAUAUUAACAUAAUUCAUAUUACUAUUUUUUUUUUUAGUAUAUGAAAUUUUACUUUGAGAAAAUUAGAGUGCUUAAAGCAGGCAUAUGCCUUGAAUACUCCAGCAUGGAAUAAUAUUAAAGAUUUUUAUCUUUUUUAUUGGUUCUAAGAUAAGAAUAAUGAUUAAUAGGGACAGUUGGGGGCAUUUGUAUUUAACAGUCAGAGGUGAAAUUCUUAGAUUUGUUAAAGACAAACUAAUGCGAAAGCAUUUGCCAAGGAUGUUUUCAUUAAUCAAGAACGAAAGUUAGGGGAUCGAAGACGAUCAGAUACCGUCGU